UACGAAGGGGGCUAGCGUUGUUCGGAAUUACUGGGCGUAAAGGGCGCGUAGGCGGCGUGUCAAGUCAGGCGUGAAAGCCCCGGGCUCAACCUGGGAACCGCGCUUGAGACUGGCAUGCUCGAGUUCGGGAGAGGAUGGUGGAAUUCCCAGUGUAGAGGUGAAAUUCGUAGAUAUUGGGAAGAACACCGAUGGCGAAGGCAGCCAUCUGGACCGACACUGACGCUGAGGCGCGAAAAGCGUGGGGAGCAAACAGGG
rnacentral:rRNA from 1 species